rnacentral:rRNA from 1 species
UACGGAGGGUGCAAGCGUUAAUCGGAAUUAUUGGGCGUAAAGCGCGUGUAGGCGGCUUUGCAAGUCGGGUGUGAAAGCCCUCAGCUCAACUGAGGAAGUGCGCCCGAAACUGCAGAGCUUGAGUACCGGAGAGGAUGGCGGAAUUCCCGAAGUAGAGGUGAAAUUCGUAGAUAUCGGGAGGAACACCGGUGGCGAAGGCGGCCAUCUGGACGGAUACUGACGCUGAGACGCGAAAGCGUGGGUAGCAAACAGG